UACGGAGGGUGCAAGCGUUAUCCGGAUUCACUGGGUUUAAAGGGUGCGUAGGUGGGUUGGUAAGUCAGUGGUGAAAUCUCCGGGCUUAACUCGGAAACUGCCGUUGAUACUAUCAAUCUUGAAUGUUGUGGAGGUAAGCGGAAUAUGUCAUGUAGCGGUGAAAUGCUUAGAUAUGACAUAGAACACCGAUAGCGAAGGCAGCUUGCUACACAAUAAUUGACACUGAGGCACGAAGGCGUGGGGAUCAAACAGG
rnacentral:rRNA from 1 species